rnacentral:lncRNA from 1 species
UAUGCAUCUUUGCUAAUGGACAUAUAUUGCACAGUUUAUAACAUUAUGACUUUCUUAUAUUUAUAUCAGCAAUCCUCUUGGAAGGUGAGGGAUGUCCAAGCUUAUAGUGCCAAAUGUCAAACUGUUCUUCUUCCUUAUUGGGUCCUGAGCUUGCUGCCCCCACAAAAAAUUGUUGACUUGAAUCCUUCAAGCCUUCAAAAUCCCUAAGCUGGUACAGCCCAUCUCUAACAUCCCCCACUCCAAGAGUCUUCCACGUCAUAAGGUCCUGAAUAAUGCAGUGUUCUUGUGAAAAAAUUAAACAGCACUUGGCAUCUUAUGCAAGCCUUCUUGCUGAUAUCAGAUUAAAAUUAAAGGAAUGAGCACACAAUACACUGGCCAGAACUAAUCUAUCAUUCAACUUAAUUGUUCCAAUAUGUGAGACCUCUACUUUCUCUCCAUUUGGUAAUACUAUCUCAGAUGCAUUGCAUGAAGUUAUCCCAGUAUACAAUUGUGAUGCAUGAAUUAUAUGAUCUGAAGCCUCUGUAUCUAUUAUCCAAGGAACAUGUGUGUUCUCAUCAACAUUAACUGAACUUGCACUAAAACAUAAAUGCUUACCAGUGAAGCCUUCUAGUUCUGGAUUCCGUGAUGACUAACAAGUGGAACGAACCAUGCUAACAGUGGGCCUGUUUUGCUACAUCAGAGACAUCAGCUGAUCAUAUUGCUCCUUUAUCAAUAAGUGGUGCUCAUCAUUUCUGGUUUAAUCCAUUGGUUCGGUGGUGGACACCUGAUUAACAUGUGUCUGCUUGCCCUUUCCUUGUGGCUUCUGACUUUUAGAUAACCCUUUCAACUUAUAACAAGUUUCAAUAGUGUGUCCAAGUUUAUUACAAUGGGUAUACACGGUAUGUUUGGAUUGGUCUUAUAGCAUCUCUCCAAG